rnacentral:pre_miRNA from 1 species
AGCUUCCUGAAUCUCUGCAGAGAUUUCGUCAGACACCAGCCCAUUAGGUCUGAUCAGACUUCUAAUAUAAGUGAAGUU